rnacentral:rRNA from 1 species
ACUCCUGCGGGAGGCAGCAGUGGGGAAUUUUGGACAAUGGGCGAAAGCCUGAUCCAGCAAUGCCGCGUGAGUGAAGAAGGCCUUCGGGUUGUAAAGCUCUUUUGUCAGGGAAGAAACGGUGAGAGCUAAUAUCUUUUGCUAAUGACGGUACCUGAAGAAUAAGCACCGGCUAACUACGUGCCAGCAGCCGCGGUAAUACGUAGGGUGCAAGCGUUAAUCGGAAUUACUGGGCGUAAAGCGUGCGCAGGCGGUUUUGUAAGUCUGAUGUGAAAUCCCCGGGCUCAACCUGGGAAUUGCAUUGGAGACUGCAAGGCUAGAAUCUGGCAGAGGGGGGUAGAAUUCCACGUGUAGCAGUGAAAUGCGUAGAUAUGUGGAGGAACACCGAUGGCGAAGGCAGCCCCCUGGGUCAAGAUUGACGCUCAUGCACGAAAGCGUGGGGAGCAAACAGGAUUAGAUACCCGAGUAGUCCCA